rnacentral:rRNA from 1 species
UGGGGAAUAUUGGACAAUGGGCGAAAGCCUGAUCCAGCCAUGCCGCGUGUGUGAAGAAGGUCUUCGGAUUGUAAAGCACUUUAAGUUGGGAGGAAGGGCAGUAAGCGAAUACCUUGCUGUUUUGACGUUACCGACAGAAUAAGCACCGGCUAACUCUGUGCCAGCAGCCGCGGUAAUACAGAGGGUGCAAGCGUUAAUCGGAAUUACUGGGCGUAAAGCGCGCGUAGGUGGUUCGUUAAGUUGAAUGUGAAAGCCCCGGGCUCAACCUGGGAACUGCAUCCAAAGCUGGCGAGCUAGAGUAGGGCAGAGGGUGGUGGAAUUUCCUGUGUAGCGGUGAAAGGCGUAGAUAUAGGAAGGAACACCAGUGGCGAAGGCGACCACCUGGGCUCAUACUGACACUGAGGUGCGAAAGCGUGGGGAGCAAACAGG